UUAGGUUAUCAAAUGGGCUUUUACAGGUUUGUUUUGUUAUGGGCUUUGAAUAACGGUCUUUGAGUUGAGACCAAAACUAUAGCUUCGCCGUCGCCUUCGACUUCUUCAGGAGUGAUGACCUUUGGUAUCUAGGGUUCUUCGUAUUGAUCAAGCACCAGUUAGGUCAAUCGACCAUGGAUGUUCUAAAAUAUUGUGUGAGAAGCAUCUUCGUGAGGAUUCUUUGGCUUGAGAUCCGUUCGCGUCGUUCCGUCUGCGAUUUCUCUCCUCUGAACCGUUACAUGAAGCAUUGAUUCAACGGCAUUGACGACCUUCUUAACUCCUUAGACCCAUUCCAAUCAGGAUUACACAUUCAAUGCAUAUUACAUCUCUUCAAGGCGGUGGAUCUACAGCUAUAAAAGGGAAUGAAGAUAUGAGUAAAUCCAUUUUCAAGCUCGCUGAUUUCUUGAUCCUAUUCUUUUUGAUUGCUCAUGUUAAACUAUAUAUUGCUCAGUCAACUACGUCGUUGUCUUCGUUUCUCUCGGCGGUUACUCCAACAUCGACGCUGCAGUUUCCACCGGUUCCAUCUUCGGUAUCUAGAGCCCCAAUGACGAGUGUAUCAUUGACUUAAUCUCCUGUGUAAUUAACUACUCUCCCUUUCACCUUCCACAUGGCCACUCCGAAAAGAUACACAAUGUACAUAAUGUUGUUGAUGUUUGCAUGUUUGUUUCUUUCGGCUAGAGUCAGAAGAACAAAGUUGUAUAGUUAACGUGUGUCAUCUACGCUAGGCAAAGUUGUCUUCGCCUUCACCAUGGACUCAAUGUACUGCGAGUUCGUCAUCAUGCAAGAGAACAUUGAGAUCCCCAAAGCCGAGAAAAUAUGCUCUUUCAAGUUUCAGCGAAGUGAACUACCAGCGGUGGGACUAGGAUCUGAAGAGUAGUACAUAGGUGAUCUCAAGGAUCCAGGUCUAAUUGGGAAACCUUACUCGGCAAGGUACAUUGGAAUUUUGAUCGGAGACUUUUUAUAUGACUUUGUUGUACGGUGGGAUUUACGUGUACCCACGUGACGUCAUGAGCAAAAAAUGAAAAGCUUAGCCUUUUGAAUUAGUAUGCACAGAUGAGUUUCAUUGUUGAAAAAUCUGGAGGAAAAUGAUCAUAUAGCCACCGGAGAGCACUAGAUAUCCCACUGGCCAAGGUAACUCUUAAAAGCAUUUCAUCUUUAUUUUAUUAUAUUAGUUUAUAUCCAAAGUUUGUGUCAUCAGACAAAAAAAAAAAGGGAUACAUGACAGAUAUAUUAGAAGGUUAUACUUUACAUCGGAAGCAAAGAAGAAAUGAAGAAGCUGGAUGAUGAAUUUGAAAGAUUCAUGCGUUUUAGUUUUGUUGAUUCCAAGAUUGCAUAGCGGUUUUAUUCUGAUCACAUUAUGUAAAGAUGAUAAUUGUUUAUCAAAAAUUUAUAACACAUCCUGUGAAACUCUUGGUUAACUUCAAUAGCAGCUACUUAUUUUAUGUUACA